GCCCGCCUAGCUCAAUCGGCCAGAGCGUCAGACUUUUACGGUGGGUAUAAGCAACCAACCAGAUCAUCUGAAGGCUGCGAGUUCGACCCUCGCGGUGGGCU